rnacentral:rRNA from 1 species
GACGAACGCUGGCGGCGUGCUUAACACAUGCAAGUCGAACGGAAAGGCCCUGCGUUUGUGUGUUUCUCGAUUGGCGAACGGGUGAGUAACACGUGAGUAACCUGCCCUUGACUUUGUGGUAACUUCAGGGAACUGGGGCUAAUACCGGAUAGGAUCUCCUGCUGCAUAGGGGUGAUUGGAAAGUUUCGGCGUUUGUGGAUGUACUCGCUGCUUAUCAGCUUGUUGGUGGGGUAGUUGCUUACCAAGGCUUUGACGGGUAGCCUGCCUGAGAGGGUGGACGGGCACCAUGGUACUGCGAUACGGAGCAGAAGGGUAUGGGAGGCAGUAGUCGGGAACCUUGCACAACGGCGCGAAGCGUGAUGUAGCAAUGCUCUGUGCGUGAUGCCGGCUUUCGGGUUGUAAACAGAUUUGGCAUGUGCCGAAGCGAGAGUGACGGUAACGGGUCAAGAAGCCCCGGCUAACUACGUG